GCGGACGUGGCGGAAUUGGCAGACGCGCAAGACUUAGGAUCUUGUACCGCAAGGUGUGUGGGUUCAAGUCCCACCGUCCGCACCA
rnacentral:tRNA from 3 species